rnacentral:rRNA from 1 species
GACGAACGCUGGCGGCGUGCUUAACACAUGCAAGUCGAACGGAAAGGCCCUGCUUUUGUGGGGUGCUCGAGUGGCGAACGGGUGAGUAACACGUGAGUAACCUGCCCUUGACUUUGGGAUAACUUCAGGAAACUGGGGCUAAUACCGGAUAGGAGCUCCUGCUGCAUGGUGGGGGUUGGAAAGUUUCGGCGGUUGGGGAUGGACUCGCGGCUUAUCAGCUUGUUGGUGGGGUAGUGGCUUACCAAGGCUUUGACGGGUAGCCGGCCUGAGAGGGUGACCGGCCACAAUGCGACUGAGAUACGGCCCAGACUCCUACGGGAGGCAGCAGUGGGGAAUAUUGCACAAUGGGCGGAAGCCUGAUGCAGCAACGCCGCGUGCGGGAUGACGGCCUGCGGGUUGUAAACCGCUUUCGCCUGUGACGAAGCGUGAGUGACGGUAAUGGGUAAAGAAGCACCGGCUAACUACGUG